rnacentral:rRNA from 1 species
GAUGAACGCUGGCGGCGUGCCUAAUACAUGCAAGUCGAGCGAACAGACGAGGAGCUUGCUCCUCUGACGUUAGCGGCGGACGGGUGAGUAACACGUGGAUAACCUACCUAUAAGACUGGGAUAUCUUCGGGAAACCGGCGCUAAUACCGUAUAAUAUAUUGAACCGCAUUGUUCAAUAGUGAAAGUCGGUUUUGCUGUCACUUAUCGAUGGAUCCGCGCCGCAUUAGCUAGUUGGUAAGGUAAAGGCUUACCAAGGCAACGAUGCGUAGCCGACCUGAGAGGGUGAUCGGCCACACGGGAACUGAGACACGGUCCAGACUCCUACGGGAGGCAGCAGUAGGGAAUCUUCCGCAAUGGGCGAAAGCCUGGCGGAGCAACGACGCGUGAGUUAUGAAGGUCUUCGGAUCGUAAAACUCUGUUAUGAGGGAAGAACAAAUGUGUAAGGAGCUAUGCACGGAUUGACGGUAACUAAUCAGAAAGCCACGGCUAACUACGUG